rnacentral:rRNA from 1 species
AGAGUUUGAUCAUGGCUCAGGAUGAACGCUGGCGGCGUGCCUAAUACAUGCAAGUCGAGCGGUAAGGUUCUGCACUUAGUAUUUAACUAGAGUAAGUCCAUGAAAAUGGAAACUGCCUAAACCUGUGAACUCCAAGGCUGGAGGACACCUGUUGAAUCCUGAGUGUAGAAUACACGAGCGGCGGACGGCUGAGUAACACGUAGGAACGUACCCCAAACUGAGGGAUAAGCACCAGAAAUGGUGUCUAAUACCGCAUGUGCUCUUCGGAGUAAAGCUACGGCGGUUUGGGAACGGCCUGCGUAAGAUUAGCUAGUUGGUGAGGUAAUAGCUCACCAAGGCGACGAUCUUUAGCUGGUCUGAGAGGAUGACCAGCCAGACUGGGACUGAGAACGGCCCAGACUCCUACGGGAGGCAGCAGUAGGGAAUCUUCCACAAUGGACGCAAGUCUGAUGGAGCAACGCCGCGUGCAGGAUGAAUGUCUUCGGAUUGUAAACUGCUUUUCUAUGUGACGAAUAUGACGGUAGCAUAGGAAUAAGGACCUGCUAACUACGUGCCAGCAGCCGCGGUCAUACGUAGGGUCCAAGCGUUAUCCGGAAUUACUGGGCGUAAAGAGUUGCGUAGGUGGCAUGAUAAGUCAGUAGUGAAAUGACGAGGCUCAACCUCGUGUCCAUUACUGAAACUGUCAAGCUAGAGAAUGAGAGAGGUCACUGGAAUUCCCUGUGUAGGAGUGAAAUCCGUAGAUAUAGGGAGGAACACCGAUGGCGUAGGCAGGUGACUGGCUCAUUUCUGACACUAAGGCACGAAAGCGUGGGUAGCAAACGGGAUUAGAUACCCUAGUAGUCC